rnacentral:lncRNA from 1 species
UCCAUACUCCUCCUCCCACCCCAUUCACUGGAGAGCAGGUUGAGGCGAGCGGAGAGCUAGGAGCGCGCCGCGGAGUCUGCGCACUGUUUGGUGCUGGCAACCCCUGGUGUCAUCCCGGCUUCCCCGGCCCUGGUCGCGGCUCUGGGCUCCUCUGCCCGGAGGAAGGAGGCGCGCAGGAGGAGGAGAGCCUCUCCAGCGACGGCAGAAGAGGGGACGCGCUCUAGAAAAUGUUGGAGACUUUUCCUAGGAAGAAUGCUCAUUUUCCUUGGAGGUCCAGAUGUUACUGGCAACAGAUGCUGCCCGCAUUUUCUUGCGCUGGUGACGCACCCAGUCAGAGGUAGUGAAGUGAAAAAUAACUCAGGAGGAACUGAGCGUGCUCUUGGCAACCCUUUCGGAAAGGAGCUCGCCCAGGGUGAGACUAGGCAUCUUUGGCUGACUGUUGAACUCUUUGAAAAAAAUCCGAGUGUUUUGUUUUGUUUCUGUUCUGGUCGACAGAGCCACCUUUACGCUGAUCUCUUUAAGAAGAGAGAAUAUCUUGUUCCCAAAGGAAGACAAGGGAUCAGAAUGAACUAAAUCAUUUUCCUCCAUCCUUUCUGUCCCCACUCCCACACUGGAUUUUCACAGAGCCGGCUCACCAACACAUUUUCCUAGAACCACGGAGUUGGUGAACCACAGCGAAGAAAGUCCAGUAGUGGGGGACCAAGAGGUGAGCAGAAGAAAGUGACUGAGCAGUAAAGGUGCCGCCUUUACUGGAAGUUAGAGAUGAAGUCUUUGCACCUGGGAACAUUAGCAGCCACAGUGGAAGAACUUUGUGGUUCUGGUCUGAAGCAAGUGUAAUGAAAGAAUUCAUAAGGUUUCAGACCUGCAUAAAAAGGUAAUACAGCCUGUUUGUCCGGUUAAGGAAGAAAUGAGCAAACUGUGACAAAAGCUACCUCAUUUGGGCUCUUGUCACAGUCCUCAGGCUCCCUAGCUCUUGUCCCAUCAGCCCCCCAACGGGGGCAAACCCCAAGUCUGGAGUCCACAGAAAGCCAAGGAGAUGAAAGAGGCCUUGGAUCAGGCACAGCAGGGGCCAACAGCCGCGCAAGUGGCCUUUCACUGGCUCCUGCUACAUUUUCAUCUUUUUGAGAUGUCUGUCCCUUUCUUCUCACCGCUCCUGCCAUACCUGGAAACUGGGACUAGACAAGUCAAUUAGGGAGACACCUUUCCUCAUCCUUAGCAGUGCUGCGGCAGGCUAGCAUUUUCCAAAAGGAGCUUCAGCUAGAUGACAGAGCAAGAAAAACAAAACCAAAACCAGCACACCCUCCCACUCCCCUGCACCCCGCCAAAAAACACCCAAGGGGGGGGGGAAGACAAUGCAAAUAAUCCAAGACAGACAACUUCACAAAGUAUUGAUUUCAGAUCCCAAGACAUUCUUCAAAGCAAAGAGAGAAUUACCCCUCUAAGGACGAGAGCUUCUUGAAAUAUGAAGGAGAC